rnacentral:rRNA from 1 species
GAUGAACGCUGGCGGCGUGCCUAAUACAUGCAAGUCGAACGAAGAUGCCUCAUGAGCAAUCGUUUGGUAAUCUUAGUGGCGAACGGGUGAGUAACGCGUUGGUGACCUGCCCCGAAGUGGGGGAUAACAGCUCGAAAGGGCUGCUAAUACCCCAUGAGUUCCUCCAGGUUAGACACUGGAUGAAGAAAGACUUCGGUCGCUUUGGGAGGGCCUGCGUCCCAUCAGCUAGUUGGUAGGGUAAAAGCCUACCAAGGCAAAGACGGGUAGGGGACCUGAGAGGGUGACCCCCCACAAUGGAACUGAAACACGGUCCAUACACCUACGGGUGGCAGCAGUAGGGAAUAUUGCACAAUGGGCGAAAGCCUGAUGCAGCAACGUCGCGUGCGCGAUGAAGGCCUUCGGGUUGUAAAGCGCUUUUCGGGGAGAAGAGGAAGGACGGUAUCCCCGGAAUAAGGUUCGGCUAACUACGUG